GAGUGAAGCCCUGACAGUUCCCAGACCCUCUGCAUUAUCACCCAAGGAAUCCAGCUUCCAGGACCAGCCCGGGGUAGGAGAAACAGAAAUGGAGACAGAGCCCAGCUCCCAUCAGCCCACGGAUACACAUCAAGCCGGGAGGGUGAACACCACAUUCUUUGCCGGACCUGGUUCCCGCCCCUCUGGUUCCUGCGGGUCCCCUCUCCCGAGGGGGGGGAAGGAGUCUGCCUCUCAAGUUCUUUCCAUGUCCCCUCCCAGCCUUUGUCUCGGUCUUUGGGCCUUUUUGUCACCCCAGGGGCUUCGUAGUCUCAGGCGGGGCCUGUGCUUGGGAACCUGGAGGGAGACCUCAGAUUUUAAUCAGUAUGUGGGUAUCUCUUUGGGUUCGUGCUGUGGGAUUUUGACCUCUGCCGUGGGCCUCUGUACCCUGUGUCUUCGGGAUGGUACAGCGCUCCCCAGCACUGGGCCAAUCCAAUGCGAACAGCUAAUGCCAUCCAACACGUGGCGCUGGGCACCCCAAGUACUGAAAGAAUAGUCCGGGCGGGUGGCGCUAAUCAGAGGUGCCCAGAGGAGGGGGCAUCGGCAGCCAGCGGGUGCCGCGGUUACAGAGAAGGCCUCAGGGAGCAGGCGGGGUUCGCCUACUUGAGGGAAGCGUGGGAAAUGGGGGACAGAGAGGUGUGGGCAGGAGGCAGCGUGGGAACCAUUGCUUGGGAUCAGCUCAGGUGAAGCAGAGGGUUUAGAGAAGGGGGAGAUGGGAGAGUUAAAGGCUGAGACAAUUAUGGGGGUGGUGGGAGAGAUGGAAUGCAGGGCUAAGGAGGCUGGAUUUUAUACCCUCAACAGUGGGAAGACCUUCAAGGUGUAUACCAUUGGGGGAGGGAUUAGAGAUGGGGGACAGAUGCCCAUUUAAAGGUAAUUUGGGGGAUCCCUGGGGGGCUCAGCGGUUUGGCGCCUGCCUUUGGCCCAGGGCGCGAUUCUGGAGACCCUGGAUCGAAUCCCACAUUGGGCUCCCGGUGCAUGGAGCCUGCUUCUCCCUCUACCUGUGUGUCUGCCUCUCUCUCUCUCUCUCUGUGACUAUCAUAAAUGAAUAAGAAAUAAAAAAUAAAAAAAGGUAAUUCGGGCA
rnacentral:lncRNA from 12 species